UGCUGUCACAGGCGUGCACACAGUGUCACUUCUGUGCACAUGCCUGCUUUUGCUCCCGUCGCCCCGCCCCGGCCACCUGCUAGUCUCCUGCACUGCGAAGAUGAAAACGGAUCGGAUACCUACCGAAAUCGUCGAUAUCAUAUUUGUUUUCAUAUUUCUGGUCAAAUUCGGAUUCGAAUACGGAUAAUGUCAAUCAUGUCGGAUAAGAUACGAUUGGAUGUCGACAUCAUAAAUAUACGAUUUAAGUAUUCGGAUACGGAUACGGUAUCGAAUGUUGAAUAUUCGGACUCGGAUACGGACAGAUCUGAACCCCUCUAAACGAAUUCGGUCUCGAAUAGGGUCGGAAAAUAUCCGUACCAUUUUUAUCCCUACCUACAGGAGCUGCGUCGACUACACUUUUUCGAGUCUGGGUCGGUGGCAAGUACGUACUCUCUCCGUCCUACUCUCUUUACCC
rnacentral:lncRNA from 1 species